AUGCCAAGCCUCCACUCCACCACGCCCAUAUCCCGCAUCCGCAUCCGCCUCCGCCGCAGCCGCCUCUUCUCCUCCUCCGCCACCACCCCGCCGCCCGCACGCUCCUGGUCUCCCCACACCGCCUUCGCCCAGGCCACCCCGGUCCCCGAGCGCUCCCUGAACGGAUUCCUCACUGCCCUCGCCCGUGCGCGGGACUCCGCCACUUUCAGAAAUGGCCCUGCCCUCGCCAUCGCCCUCUUCAACCGUCUGUGCCGAGAAGAAGCCGGCUCGCGGGUGGCGUGGCCCACGGCCUGCACCUACACCAUCCUCAUGGACUGCUGCUGCCGGGCGCGUCGCCCGGAUCUAGGGCCUGCUUUCCUUGGGCGCCUCCUCAGGACGGGCCUGAAGACAAACCAGAUCGUCGCCAACACCCUCCUCAAGUGCCUCUGCUACGCCAAACGGACGGAUGAGGCUGUCAAUGUAUUGCUUCACAAGAUGUCCGAGCUCGGCUGCGUGCCUGAUGCCAUCUCAUACAACACAGUUCUUAAGAGCUUAUGUGAAGAUAGCAGAAGCCAGGAAGCACUCGACCUGCUCUGGAUGGUGGCAAAAGAAGGAGGUGUCGGCUCUCUCGAUGUGGUAUCCCAUAGCACUGUCAUCCAUGGCUUCUUUAAGGAAGGCGAAACAGGCAAGGCAUGCAAUCUAUUCCAUGAAAUGACACAUCAAGGGAUUGUGCCCAAUGUGAUGACAUAUAACUUGAUUAUUGCUGCGUUGUGCAAGGCCAGAGCAAUGGACAAGGCAGAGCUGAUCCUUCGGCAGAUGGUUGAUAACGGUGUUCGACCCAAUACAGUUACUUGCAGCUCGCUCAUGUCUUCCCUUUGCAAGCAUGGAAGAAGCAAAGAAGCUGCAGAAAUUUUUGACUCCAUGACUGCCAAGGGCCUCAAACCUGAUAUCGUCGCAUACUCUAUUCUGCUUCAUGGAUAUGCCACUGAAGGAUGCCUUGCUGAUAUGAUUGAUCUCUUCAAUUCAAUGAAAAACAAUGGUAUUGAAGCCACUUGUCAAGUUUUCAACAUAUUAAUUGGUGCAUAUGCUAAAUGUGGAAUGAUGGAUGAGGCUAUGCUCAUAUUUACUGAAAUGCGGCGACAAGGAGUUUGUUGUAUAAAUGGUGAUGCGGUUAAAGCUAAGGAGCUGGUUUCUGAAAUGAUGAACAAAGGUAUUCCUCGUCCUGACAUUGCGUUCUUCACUUCAAUAAUAAAUAGUCUAUGCAAAGAAGGAAGGGUUAUGGAUGCACAAAAUAUCUUUGACUUGCUUGUUGCCAUAGAUGAGAGGCCUAAUGUCAUUACAUUUAAUUCACUAAUUGACGGAUAUUGCUUAGUUGGCGAGAUGGAUAAAGUAUUCAGAGUACUUGAUGCCAUGAAAUCAGUUGGUGCUGAGCCUGAUAUUGUUACAUACAAUACACUUGUUAAUGGCUAUUGUAGAAAUGGAAGGAUUGACGAUGACUUGGCUUUGUUCAGGGAAAUGCCAUGUAAGGGAAUAAAACCUGACACUGUUGCAUAUUGCAUCAUACUAGAUGGGUUGUUUCAUGCCGGGAGAAUUGUCGUUGCAAGGAAAAUGUUCCAUGAGAUGAUCGAAAGUGGAACAACAGUGGGCAUUCCCAUAUACAAUAUAACACUUAAAGGCCUUUCUAGAAAUAACUGUGCACACGAAGCGAUAGCCAUGUUCCAGAAAUUAGGUGCAAUGAAUGUGAAGUUUGAUAUUGUCACACUCAAUACCAUGAUUAAUGCAUUGUACAAGGUUGGAAAAAAAGAAGAAGCUAAGGAUUUGUUUGCUGCAAUAUCAGCCAGCGGGUUGGUGCCUAAUGCUUCCACUUACAGCAUAAUGAUAAUAAAUUAUCUGAAGGAAGGAUCAGUGGAAGAUGCUAACAAUAUUUUUUCAUCAAUGGAGAAGAGUGGCAUAGCUCCCAGUUCUCGUCUUAUAAAUUAUAUCAUCAGAAUAUAUUUGGAAAAAGGUGAGAUCGCCAAGGCUGGAGAUUAUUUGUCCAAGGUUGAUGGGAAGAACAUCUUACUUGAAGCUUCAACUACGUCGCUGAUGUUGUCUCUCUUUUCAAGAAACGGGAAAUAUCAGGAGAAUAUCAAAUUGCUUCCUGCAAAGUAUCAGUUUUUUUAUGGAUUUGGUUGA
rnacentral:rRNA from 1 species